UCCAUGGGAUGUCAGCAUCAUAUCUUCAGUGCCCCUCAGACCAUCCUAUCCACUUCAUGAACAAACACAUGAAGUUCACACACAUGGCACAUUCUGCUUGCAGUUUCACUUGAUGUUUGUCCAUCUUCAUCAUCCAAGGUCUACAGCCAGUGCUCUUCCAGUGCAGUAGCCUUAAACCAUCUUCCUCAGGCAUGUCAGGUUCAGCUGACCUCCAAACAAGCACUUCUUCUGUGGGAGUACUGGGGAAUACUGAUGCUUACAGAAUUGCCAGCCUUCUUAGCAUUUGAUAUACAUGACUGAAUCUCCUGACAGGAGGCAAGG